rnacentral:rRNA from 1 species
UACAGAGGUGCCAAGCGUUAGGCGGAAUUACUGGGCGUAAAGCGCGCGUAGGCGGCUUUGUAAGUUAGAGGUGAAAGCCCAGGGCUUAACCCUGGAAUUGCCUUUAAGACUGCAUCGCUAGAAUCGUGGAGAGGUGAGUGGAAUUCCGAGUGUAGAGGUGAAAUUCGUAGAUAUUCGGAAGAACACCAGUGGCGAAGGCGACUCACUGGACACGUAUUGACGCUGAGGUGCGAAAGCGUGGGGAGCAAACAGG